rnacentral:rRNA from 1 species
GGCUUAGAGUUUGAUCAUGGCUCAGGAUAAACGCUGGCGGCGCACAUAAGACAUGCAAGUCGAACGAACCAAACCAUUAGUUUACUAUUGGAGAGGUUAGUGGCGGACUGGUGAGUAACACGUAAGCAACCUGCCUAUUAGAGGGGAACAACAGUUAGAAAUGACUGCUAAUACCGCAUAUGCCUAAGUAUCGCAUGGUACAAUAGGGAAAGGAGAAAUCUGCUAAUAGAUGGACUUGCGUCUGAUUAGAUAGUUGGUAAGGUAACGGCUUACCAAGUCGACGAUCAGUAGCCGAACUGAGAGGUUGAACGGCCACAUUGGGACUGAGAUACGGCCCAGACUCCUACGGGAGGCAGCAGUCGGGAAUAUUGCGCAAUGGAGGAAACUCUGACGCAGUGACGCCGCGUGCAGGAAGAAGGUUUUCGGAUUGUAAACUGCUUUAGACAGGGAAGAAGAAGGACAGUACCUGUAGAAUAAGCUCCGGCUAACUACGUGCCAGCAGCCGCGGUAAUACGUAGGGAGCGAGCGUUAUCCGGAAUUAUUGGGUGUAAAGGGUGCGUAGACGGGAAGACAAGUUGGUUGUGAAAUCCCUCGGCUUAACUGAGGAACUGCAACCAAAACUAUCAUUCUUGAGUACUGGAGAGGAAAGUGGAAUUCCUAGUGUAGCGGUGAAAUGCGUAGAUAUUAGGAGGAACACCAGUGGCGAAGGCGACUUUCUGGACAGAAACUGACGUUGAGGCACGAAAGUGUGGGGAGCAAACAGGAUUAGAUACCCUGGUAGUCCACACCGUAAACGAUGGAUACUAGGUGUAGGGGGAUGAAUAUCUUCUGUGCCGUCGCNAACGCAGUAAGUAUCCCACCCUGGGAGUACGGCCG